UUUGCACUGGAGAAAUGAUCUCAUUAACAAACUAGUUCUGUGCGUCCUUAACACUGAGGCCCCUCGCCUGCAGCUGGAGGCAGCUCUCUGUUCAGCCCCAGUGCAGAGUGACACAGACAGGCGACAGCGUCGCUGAGCACCAACUUCUAUUCCACGGAGGCAGACAGCGAAAACCAUUUCAUAACCAUGGCAAGGCAUGAGAGAAGCACAGGGGUAGCUGCAAAGUUUUGGAAAAGACCUCUGCAACAACUGGAAGCACAGUGUACCCAAGUGGUGGGUCUCGUCUGUGGCAAUAUAAUUUUCUAUCUGUCCAAUUGAAUAUGGCUGUAAAGGGAAUAAAACCCCAUGUAAUCUCCAGCAGUGACAAUUUAAUCAGUUGUAUAAGGGGGAAAAAAGCAGAGUCCCCUCAUUUUCAUAUUUGCAUAUUUGAUUUUUGCAUUGGGGAAUAGAGGUUUUGUUUUUCUAUUACUUUGCAUUCAAUUUUAAUAUUUAAUCUUUUUAUGAGCAAAUUUUUAUAGUGGUAUGUAAUACUGAGUCAGACAGGUCUAAAAUAGAAAGGAAAGAUUCCAUUUCUGAAAUCAAGCCCCUGAUCCAAUAUGCUUUGUGUAACAUUUUUCCUUGUACAGAAUCUAUGUGCCUAACAUGGCUUGCAUGCUCCCAGCUUCUGCACGUGAUGCAUCUGCUAUUAACAUUCAGAGAUUCACCCUGAAAAUGAAGGCAACUGUUUGGAGAACAAUGUAAAAUGAUGAGAAUAGACCAUCCUAUGACCCCCUUUUUACAUUAAUAUUUCUUAAAAUGGUAAAUCUUAUUGAUUGCAUCUAUUUCCAAGGAAGUAGGGUUUCUUAAAUGCUUUAUAUACACAGGAGCCAGUUUUUAUGAGGUUAUAGAGGAGCAGUAAAUACAGUAAGAUUAAUAAAACUUCGUUGUUUUCACAAUUGACAGAAUGAUAUUAUUGCCUAUAGGGUAAUAACAGCUUAUGGGAUUGAUUUUAAGAUGAAUAAGAUGCAAGUAAUUCGAACUUAUCAUCAAUUACCCUUGGUUACUCCCAUGAGUAUGUAUCUAGCCAAAAUGGUGUUGGAUUUGAAUUACUGGGACAUAGAUAGCUGUUUCUUUAUGCAUCAAUGCAUUCUAGCCUCCACUUGCGAAAACUCCAAAAGUAUGUUGGGUAAUUUAAAAAAAUAAGGAUAGUACUCUACUUGCUUAAUGAUUUAGAAUUUCUUUAUAAAAAGUGAACUCUGAAGUCAAUAUUUCACUGGAGAGGGAAAGAAUAAUGAUUUUAAUUCUAUGUAAUUUUUUUAAAGCUUAAAAACAAGUUUUGAAAUGUUUUAUGUACUAAAUUUAAUCUAUGUACAUAUUUACACACACAUAUAUAUACAUGUGUAUAUGUGUGCCUGCAUAUAUGUGUGUGUAUGUGUGAUGUGUGUGUGUAUAUAAAUGUGGCCUAAAUGUUGCCAACCAAAUUUUAUGAGCAAUAACUACAUUUGGAAUUGUGAAAAUAUGAGCCAUAGGAUUUUAUUCAAAAACAGAGCAGUGAGUCUUUUUAAUGUACAUCUAUGAAAAGCAUACCAGUAGCAGUAUACAGGCAUCAUUAGAUGACAGGUAUAAAAUCCUUUGGGCAAGCACUGAUGCACAUUAAAUUCAAGUACAUAAUAUGUCAAGUUUUGAGUAUGUUCUUGUUUAUUUAAAUCUGCAUUCUGAUGAUGAUCUUUUCAAAGAGAUUGCAUAUAUAUGAAUAUGUGAUCUAGUGUUUACAUAUUCAAAUUAACCUGUUUCUUUGAAUAUGGUCUAAUGAUUGAAUGAUCUCCCAAACAUGGCAACUCCUCAGGGAAAUAUAUUGAUGCCUCAGCAUAUUUCCUCAAGGCCUGGAGAGUACUAGAUAUGACAAGGAGUGCCUUCAAGCAUGGAAGCCCUGCUCUACCUAAACGAAAGUCCUAGGCUUUAAUCACAAAGGCUAGGUUCACACUAAUGCAAUUAACCAUAUGAUUGCUUUCGAAGGAGCCUAACCUCAUCAGCAUCUUUCCUUUAGGCAAACUGACAAUGCUGGAUCUAGUCAAUGACUCAAGAGAAUUUGAUUAGCUAAGAGGUACAAGGCUCUGCAUAUGCAGUCACAAAUGCACAGUAGGAAUGUUCAUCUCCAACCUAUCAUUUCACAAUCAACUAUAAAUUUAAGCAAUUAAGGUAAAAUAAUUGUUCCAUGAAAUAAUUAAGAGUUGACAAUUAUCAGGAUGAAGGUGAAGACUACAUCCAAAUGAAAAUGAUCUGUUUUAUAGUUUGUUUGUUUGUUUGUUUAUUUAUUGGGUUGUGUGCUUGUUUUGUUUUGUUUGAGGGAGGAUGGGAGAGGGCCAUGAUAGUUAAAACUAAAAAUAAGAUUUACUUGGAGAACUGAUGAGGCACAGUGGCUCACUCCUGUAAUCCCUGCAUUUUGAGAGGCCAAGGCAGGUGGAUCACCUGAGGUAAGGAGUUUGAGACCAGCCUGGCCAACAUGAUGAGACCCUGUCUCUAUUAAAAAUACAAAAAAUUAGCCAGGCAUGGUGGUGGGUGCCUGUAAUCCUAGCUACUCUGGAGACUGAGGCAGGACAAUAACUUGAACCCGGGAGGCGAAGGUUGCAGUGAGCCGAGAUCACACCAAUGCACUCCAGCCUGGUCAACAAGAGUAAAACUCAGUCUCAUAUGUGUGUGUGUGUGUUUGUGUGUGUGUACAUACAGAUACACCUAUGUGUAUGUGCGUGUGUACUUUUUUAACCUUAUUUGACCUUGCGACUUUACAAAUCAUUGCUGGACUUGAUAACAUGUUGUAGGGCCAGAAAAGGUAUGAUAUCUUUCCUCCCCAUCAUAAUAAUCACAGCUGACCCUCCUAUCACAAAAGACAGGUUAAUGAGAGAAAAGCGUAACACAUUUAUUUAAUCAAAGUCUUAUGAGUCAUGAGAGCCUUCAGAAAUGAAGCCCAGUCUCCCAAGGGAAAACUGUCCAUUUUUAUGCUUAGAUUCAAUGAUGAGUGAACAGUCAUAUAAAAAUAUGAUUGAACAAAGAGAGAAAUGAUCUAACAGAAAUAUACUGAGUGGGAAAAGCCAGCAAGGCUUGUCUGUUUGGAUUCUACUUGGCCUGUCUGUUGUGGCAUUUUUUCCUCCUGGAUAUAGGGCAGGACUCCUUCCAGAAUAAGGUUCUUCUCAUCUUCUUUGAGACAAAUUAGGUCAUAUAAUUUCUUAUGGACAAGAUUUUACACAAAAAGGCAGAGGAAAGUUAGGGUAAUAAUUCUAGGUUUUACGGCUUGGUUUGGGGAAAAAGAGUUCUAGUUUCUAUGACUCACUUGGAAGAGGAAUUCUGGUUUCUGUGACUCACUUCAGGGAAGAAUGAGGGGCAAGAAACAGGAGGGCAGGAGAAGGUCAGAGGCAUACAUUAGUCCUGAUGCUGCUUCUGAGGCCUUCCAAUGUGCUUUAGUUCUAAGUAGUUGGUAUGUCAAAGUGCUGUACUUUGGGUUAUCUUUUUCUGAACCCCCCACAAAAUCAAAUCUGAACUAGAAGCUUUCUAGCAUCUUCUUCUUAAUGAAUCCUAAUAAAGACAUUUCUACUGGCAUAUGGAUAUAAUUUUUGGUUACUAUCUAUUAAAAUUAUUUCUCCAGGCCAGGAGCAGUGGCUCACACCUGUAAUCCCAACGCACUGGAAGGCCGAGGUGGGCAGUUCACUUUAGCCCAAAACCUAGAGACCUUAGGCAUGGUGCAGAGGGCAGAAAGAAGACAAAGAACGAAGAUAAAAGAAGCCUUUUUCCUCAAGAAGAUUGUAAUCUAGUGGUGGAGCUGGAAAAUAAAGGGAAAGCAGUGGCCAUGUAUGUCAUGAGGACAUUCCAGUAACCCCAUGUGGUAAGGAACCAAGUCAGCCUGCCAACAACCACUGAAAAACUGAGCCCUCCUGCUGACAGCCAUGUGAGAGGAACACCUGGGAAGUGGAUCCUCCAGGCCUGGUCAUACUUCAGAUGACUGCAGCCCAAGCCAACAUCUUGCUUGAGUGGAGCCUCAUGAGUGACUCAGUCAAAACCACACAGCUGAGAUAUUUCCAACCCACAGAUACUGAGAUAAUAAAUGUUUAUUGCUACUAGGUUUCCUUCCUUCCUUCCUUCCUUCCUUUUUCUCUUCUCUUCUCCUUCCUUCCUUCCUCCCUCCCUCUCCUCCUCCUCCGUCUUCUUCCUCUUCCUCUUCUUCCUCUUCCCCUUCCCCUUCCUCUUCCUCCUUCUUUCUUUCUUACUUUCUUUCUCUUUCUUUCUUUCUUUCUCUAUGAAAAUAUCAGGUGUACUAUAUUUUACCUGCCUUCAUG
rnacentral:lncRNA from 1 species